rnacentral:rRNA from 1 species
UACGAAGGGUGCAAACGUUGCUCGGAAUUAUUGGGCGUAAAGCGCGCGUAGGCGGCUUGGCAAGUCGGAUGUGAAAUCCCUCGGCUCAACCAAGGAAGUGCAUCCGAAACUGCUGAGCUUGAGUACUUAAGAGGAUCGCGGAAUUCCUGGUGUAGAGGUGAAAUUCGUAGAUAUCAGGAGGAACAACAGCGGCGAAGGCGGCUCACUGGACUAUAACUGACGCUGAGGCGCGAAAGCGUGGGGAGCAAACAGG